CGUUCUAUUGCCGAAUUGGUAAAGACAUCGCCGAUCACAGGCGAGGGUGCGGGUUCGAGUCCCGCUGGAACGA
rnacentral:tRNA from 1 species